rnacentral:pre_miRNA from 1 species
GCCACUAAUCCAAAAGAACGGUGGGUAGAACUUUGAUUAAUAUUGCUUGAGAAUAUUAGUCAAAGAUUUUCCCCAUAGAUUUAUCAAUUUUGGC